rnacentral:rRNA from 1 species
AAGCGGCAACAGCUCAAAUUUGAAAUCUGGCCCUCGGGUCCGAGUUGUAAUUUGUAGAGGAUGCUUUUGGUGCGGUGCCUUCCGAGUUCCCUGGAACGGGACGCCAUAGAGGGUGAGAGCCCCGUCUGGUUGGACGCCAAGCCUCUGUAAAGCUCCUUCGACGAGUCGAGUAGUUUGGGAAUGCUGCUCUAAAUGGGAGGUAUAUGUCUUCUAAAGCUAAAUAUUGGCCAGAGACCGAUAGCGCACAAGUAGAGUGAUCGAAAGAUGAAAAGCACUUUGAAAAAGAGAGUUAAAAAGCACGUGAAAUUGUUGAAAGGGAAGCGCUUAUGACCAGACUUGGGCUUGGUUGAUCAUCCGGCGUUCUCGCCGGUGCACUCUUCCGGUCCAGGCCAGCAUCAGUUUGCUCCGGGGGAUAAAGGCUUUGGGAAUGUGGCUCCCUCGGGAGUGUUAUAGCCCAUUGUGCAAUACCCUGGAGCGGACUGAGGUACGCGUUCUGCAAGGAUGCUGGCGUAAUGGUCAUCAGUGGACCCGUCUUGAAACACGGACCAAGGAGUCGUCUUCGUAUGCGAGUGUUCGGGUGUUAAACCCCUACGCGUAAUGAAAGUGAACGCAGGUGAGAGCUUCGGCGCAUCAUCGACCGAUCCUGAUGUUCUCGGAUGGAUUUGAGUAAGAGCAUACGGGGCCGGACCCGAAAGAAGGUGAACUAUGCCUGUGUAGGGUGAAGCCAGAGGAAACUCUGGUGGAGGCUCGCAGCGGUUCUGACGUGCAAAUCGAUCGUCAAACAUGGGCAUGGGGGCGAAAG